CGCUGGGGGGCAUGGAGAGGGAAGACGUGGUUCAGUGUGGCGUGGGUGCCCAGGCCUUGCCACACCCACAGAGUGUGCCCACCUGCCUGCCACCCCGCAGGAUUGUGUGCACCAUCGAGGCUGCAGAGGCACCCUUGACAGGCGGUGUCGAGGUGGACAUCAACGGAGAAGCUCGGCCAUUCACCUCCCCAUGCCCAGUUCACCUACCAGCAGCCCCAGCCCCGCAGUGUGGAGCCCAAGCAGGGGCCGCAGGCAGGCGGCACACGCUGACCAUCAGUGGCACCACCUGGACACAGGCUCUGAGGAAGACGUGAGAGUGACCCUCAAUGGCGUCCCUUGUAACGUGACACAGUUUGGGGCCCAGCUUCAGUGUGUCACUGGCCCCCAGGCGGUUCCGGGAGAGCUGGCCCUGAAGAUUUACUAUGGGGGCUCCGAAGUGCCAGCCCUGGUAUCACCUUCACCUACCGUGAGAAUCCAGUACUGCGGGCCUUCGAGCACUGCGGAGCUUUGUCAGGUGUGACAGGGGCCCUUGGUAGCAGGUGCCCCCUACACCCACCCAUCCAACUGUUUCUCAGGCGCUCUCUGCCUCCAGCCUCGUGAGGAUUGGCAGAUACUGGUCUGCGUGACAGGAGGCCUCCAACACUCCCCCCUGUCCCCCAGGUCCCUUCCCCUAGACACCCAGGUGGACAGCCUCCCUGCCCUCUCACAGUGCAGGAUGGCAGUGCUCCGGGCACACCUGCUGCAAGGCAGGUCUGUGCUCACACUGGCCUGCAAGUAUAUCCCAGGUCGUGGUGGUGGGGUCAGGGACGGAGCCUUGCAGGGCACUCGCCUUACCCGGUGUGCCACUCUGGCGCUGUCUCCUCGCUGUCCCUCAGUGGUGGCCGCAGCAUCAACGUCACAGGACAGGGUUUCAGCCUAUCCAGAGGUUCGCCAUGGUCGUCAUAGCUGAGCCGUUGCAGUCCUGGAGGCAGCGGCGGGAGACCGCGACCCUGCAUUCCGUGACGGUCAGUCCUGGUGCCCGCUGCGGGUACAAGCCAGGGCUGGAGGCCCGCUGUGCCAGGUGGCCUAAAGGUCCCGCCUCGGCCCUCAGGUCGUGGGCACGGAGUACGUGUUCCACAACGACUCCAAGGUCGUGUUCCUGUCCCCGGCCGUCCCCGAGGAGCCCGAGGCCUACAACCUCACCGCGCUCAUCCGGAUGGACGGGCACCAGGCCCUGCUCAGGACGGAGGCUGGUGCCUUUGAGUACGUUGCCGACCCCACCUUCGAGAACUUCACGGGGGUGUCAAGAAGCAAGUCAACAAGCUCAUUCACGCGAGGGGCACCAACCUGAACAAGGCCAUGACCAUUCACGAGGCUGAAGCCUUUGUGGGUGCCGAGCGCUGCAUCAUGAAGACGCUGACGGAGACGGACCUGUACUGCGAGCCCCGGAGGUGCAGCCCCUCCCAAGCGGAGGCAGAAGCGAGACACGGCCCACAACCUGCCGGAGUUCAUUGUGCGUGUGUGGGCCGCGGGCUGGGGUGCGCACGGGGGUGUCCUUGGUGCGGCCCCCCUGGUCCUUGCUGAGUCCCUCCCCACGCAGGUGAAGUUUGGCUCACAGGGAGUGGGUGCUGGGCCGAGUAGAGUACGACACGCGCGCGAGUGACGUGCCCCUCAGCCCUAUCCUGCCGCUGGUCAUCGGGCCCAUGGUGGCUGUCAUUGCUGUAUCUGUCUACUGCUACUGGUGAGCCGGCGUCCACCCCUUGGCCACACCCACCGGCCGGCACCACCCAGGCCGGUCCCAGGAGCUUCCCUGUGUCCCCAGGAGGAAGAGCCAGCAGGCAGAGCGCGAGUACGAGAAGAUCAAGUCCCAGCUGGAGGGCCUGGAGGAAAGUGUGCGGGACCGCUGCAAAAAGGAGUUCACCGGUAGGCGGGUCUGGGGCGGGUCCCAGGAGCGCAGGGCUCAGGGCCGGAUCCCGGGGGAGGGGGCUUGGGGGCGGGUCCCGGGAGAGGGGGGCUCGAGGGCGAAUCCU
ensembl:lincRNA